rnacentral:lncRNA from 1 species
GUAAGAUAGUUCCACAAUUAGCUUGAGAAUGCCACUCUUCAUAUCCAGAGAUGGCACCAUCAGAACUGGAAAAAGGGCUUUUGGCUAGGCAGGUAAUCACUUUGAGCCUCAGUUUUCCUGUCUGUAAAAGAAGAAGAACAACCCCAAGGCUGCUUGUUAGCAUGAGAAACAGAGGAAGAUGGCUCACUUAAAUAGAACCAGGAAAAUAUUUGCAGAAAGCAAGGCCAGACGGGCUGCAAAAACCUCUUGGGGGGCCUCUGGAUGCAGAUGCAAAGACCGAAAAGUGCAAGACAGGGAACUGGUAACAACUCUAGGUAACUUAGCUUUUUAAUGAGGUAAACCUUCAGCCAGCAGCAGAAACGCUUUUACCCACAAACCAGAGGCCAGAAAUGCAGUGAUGCAGCCUCCAAUGUUCUCACUUGGUAGUAACAGGGGGGUACAGUAAGGCCUUCCUGCUCUGUGCAGCAUCAUCCAUUAGAAAACAAAAAAGGUACGGUAAGUGCCACUGAGCUUCUCCAUUAAUUGCUAAGUAAGGGGAAAAAAAGAGAAGAAUAAAGUGCUUUUACCUGCUCAGCUGGCUAAUUAAAAGCUGCCUGAAGCCCUGCUAACCUUUUUCAUUAUGGCAGUGUUCAUUAUAAAGCCAGAAAGAAUUAACUACACUGCAUUAUCAGAUAUCGAAAAAUAUUAAUAGCAAAAGUGAGAAAGGGAAAGAAGGAAUUUUGGGCGAGUUAAUUAAACCACAUGUCCUCAAUGACUUAUUAAGUGACUGGUCGAGCUUCCUGGAGCUUGGUGAGUCCCAGAGAGCAAGGCGAUGUGCUCCUGCUCCUCAGGAAAUGAGUUUCCAGCCCGCGGAACUAUUUUUUUUUCUUCCUCUGUGGCAAAUUUUUCUUUCUUUCUUUCUGUCUUUCCAAAUAUUGCCAAGUGAGUUAAGUCCUGAAUUGGGACCAUCUUGGAGCCAACAGAAACAGGAACUCACUGAGAGCUCUUAAAGGUCACUACUGAGGGAUGGCUUUGGCGGUGAGUUUUCUCUAUCGUUCAGCAAAACCCUUUUAGUUCUGCAACUGAACAAGUGAGAACAUUUUAUAAUGAGGUCUCUUUGCUACUUUUGUAACCAAAGCCCAUGAAUGAGUUCAUGACAGGCCUGCCACCCUUAUCACAUUCCCUUCAACAAGGCCUGGUACAACAGUCUGGCACAGGGCAUUACACUGGGAUUUGCACUUAGGGCCUUGAGAGCUGUCUGGAGUAAGCAGACUAUCGACUCUCCACCUACAAAGAAGCCGUACGCACAACUCUGUUCUACAAAACCUCUUUGUGUGAGUUCAACUGUGACCACAGGAUGGAUAAGGUACCAAAAAUUAAAAGCAAAGAUGCUUAAAUCAACUGCAGUCCUUCUGGGCAGAUGUUCCUAAAUGCAAUCCAUCUAAGAGGAAAGAGUUUUUGAGGGAAGGGUGAUCACUGGGCCUCUACAUGCCACACCCGGAAGGCCCAGCAGUGGGGCAAGGAUAGAACACACAGUUUGGCGAUGUGACCCUGCCUGUCUGCACACCUCAGGAUCCCACCACCCAACAGGCAUACAUCUCCUGGAGCUACAGAGAUGCCAAAUGCCAGAGAAGGGAAGCAGGAAGGGAGAUGAAGACAAGGAACUCUGAAAAAUGGAAGCAGAAACACAGGCUGUAUUUUCCCCUAUCCUUCUUUUCUUUGUUCCCUUUUUUCUCUUUUGAAUGAAAAAUAAAAAUGCA